ACAUGUCUGUCUACCGCAUGUUGCAUAAAACCAUUGCAAAAUCUUUACAGAAUUUCAUUAGCCUAAGUAAUAAGAGUCCUAUGUCUGAAUAUAGUUUUAAUUUAUUUGGUUGAUUUAAUCUUAACACGCGCGUUAUAUGAUUGGUAAUAAUUGAAGCAAGGUCGAUUGACGUCUCGUGUUGUGUCUUAAAGGUGAAUGACCGGCUCAAAUCGUGUUCCUGGCUAAUUUAGAGCAAUAAGCGUUUGGCAAAAACUCGUUUUAUUACAGCUUUAUUACAUCGAUGCUGGUUACAUAAAAACUUAAAGCCAAAUUGCCUAAUUUCUAGAUCUGAUGAUACAAUCCUUGUUUGGUUAGAUUUAAGAUCUCUUAACUCUACUGUGUAGUUGAUUUAUUGAUCUUAAACAUGCAUUGUGUAUUCAAUCAACACAUUGACUUUAACCUGUGAUGAAUGCAUCCAAAUACCUAGGAUACCAACACUUUGGGUUGUCAACACAGAAUUAAAGAAAUAAUAUGAGAAGUGCCACUAAGAACCUCUUAAAUUAACAUUGAAGAUAUAAUUAUCUGCAUAAGUGACCUUUGGCAGUGUUCAUAAAAGGGCAAUGUUACGAAAAGCUACCAAAAAGGCCGCAUGAACUGGAACUUGAACUAUAGACAUUAUUUCUUAGGCUCACAAAAUUAUCUAUGGUUUUAACAAACCACUAAGUGGUCUUUAGAGACUCCAAUAAUAAUAACAAUUGCUGCACAUGAUAAUACUGGUACAAAAAUAAUUCAUUAAUUCUUAUCUUUAUCUCAAUACUGGCAAACCAAUUAUUCCAAAAGUAAUCAGUGUUUAUUUUGUAGUAAUCAGUGUGUGUGUUGUCUUGUAAUCAGUUUAAAAAUGUAUAAUCAGUGUUUAUUGUCUAAACAAAAAUAUUGAUGAACUAUAUGCGAUACCGAAGAGUAAAGUUAGUAUCUUUGACGAUACUAAUAACAUAGAAAUCCAUAUCAAUAUUAUGGGUGUGAAAGAAUGUGUCUGUUUGUUGUCCGUCUUUCACAGCAAUACGGACCGACGGACGAAUGGAGGUGUUUUUUUUAAGAGGAGACAGUUGAAAGCAUGGAAUAGUUUCUGUAUUCCGUGGUUGAAGGGAUGGAGAGUGAAAUGAGCUAUAAAACAUCACACUACGAUUAAUAAGAACUAAGCAUAGGGUGAAAUCGCGUAGCAAUGUUCUACGAAGAUAUAGAUUUUUUGUGAACCUCGUAAAUAGUUGAGGUGACCUAUCCCAUUAAGACGUGAUUUGUUAAUCAAUUUUAUGUCAAUUAUUCAUUUAUGCGACAAAAUACCUAGAUAGAAAUAAAUGUUUCAUGGUACAACGCCAUUACAUCAUUUGUUGAAGACAUCUUUAUCGGGGCAGAAAUCAGUUGUUGCGGUUACUUGAAUUACCUAUGUUAAUAAUGUACCUACUGUUAAUAUUAUUAUCUUUCGCAGGUAAGGCUUAUAGUCUUUCUGAUUGAAAGUCGGUGGUUUUGUUUUGGGUUAUCCAUUUUGCAUUUACGGAAUUUGUUACCAUUUUCUUCGAAGUAUUCAAAACUACAGCAGAUUCUUUUUUAGCUCUUUUAAAUGGAACUUGUAACAGGUAAAAAAUGGGUAUGUACCUACCUAUUAUAUUCGUAACAUCACGAUUGUCCAACAGGAAAACCUUAGAUACGUUGAUAGGACGAUGUUAAAGGAAAAAACAUCCAUACAAGAUCGAAAAAAGAAGGUAUACCUAAACUGAAGAAGGUUUUGGAAGUUGGAAACGACUUAAAAAUAAAUAGAAUAGGUACAUUUGUUUUGACUGUUCCAAAACUACAUAAUCAAAUUACUAUAGGAAAACAAGAUAGGAAAUAAAGACUUUAGGGUUCAAAAUCCACUGACUCUGCUAUAAUACCCAUUAAAUUUGUCGUGUUUUUUCUGUCAACUGCAUUGCCUUGGCAUAUUGCAAGAUAGAUGCGUUGACUCACAUCACUUGUGAAAAUCUGAUAAAUGUCAGCACAGGUUGUUUGCUGAUAAAAUGUGACAAGACUUUUAAUUUAUUCUCAGGAUGUUUAAAAAAAAUAAGCAAAUAUACAUAUAAGUUUUUAAACUGACUGACAUGGUCACUAAAACUAACAUUAGAACUUGAGACGGGAUAUUUACCAUGUUUAUUUGGUUAUGAAUCGAGUUACAAGUGAUACAAGUGACAGUGGUAGCGGUGUCGUUAGCAAAAAGACGAACUAGAAUGAGGGAAGACCGAUUUGUCUGCUCUUAAACAUCCAUCCGCAUAUACUCCAGUUCAUCCAUGAUCAUAGCGCUUGCAACAGUACCGAAAUAUCGGAAACUCAUAGACAUAAAUAAACAUGGGUGUACCAGCAUGGCGCGUCGCCGCCGGAAACCUUCUUGCAAUUAACUUAUCUGCCGUAUUAUUGUCUGCAUCAAUGCCGCUGCAUGUAAAGGAUGUGUAUUUGGGUGAGUGAUUGCAAGUGUAAUUAAUUAUACAUAUACCUACAACAAAUGGGUAGGGAAAUAUUCAAAUAUUAACUGCGCAGUUGAUGCGGUAGCUGGGCAACUGACUGCCGCGCAACGUGUCGCAGGUUUGAUCCACAAAUUGUUGUUCGGGUCUGGGUGUGGAGUGUAUGUGAACUUGUAUGUUUGUAACCCACGACACAGGAGAAAAUCCUAAUGUGGGGCAACGUUUUUU